GUGCUCACUUCGGCAGCAUAUAUACUAAAAUUAAAGCAAGACAGAGAAGAUGAGCAUGGCCCCUGCUCAAGGAUGACACAUAAUUUCAUGAAGUGUUUUAUAUUUUU
rnacentral:snRNA from 1 species